rnacentral:rRNA from 1 species
GCUAUCUGCAGUCGAGCGACGGAUAAGGAGCUUGCUCCUUUGAAGUUAGCGGCGGACGGGUGAGUAACACGUGGGUAACCUACCUAUAAGACUGGAAUAACUUCGGGAAACCGGAGCUAAUGCCGGAUAACAUUUGGAACCGCAUGGUUCUAAAGUAAAAGAUGGUUUUGCUAUCACUUAUAGAUGGACCCGCGCCGUAUUAGCUAGUUGGUAAGGUAACGGCUUACCAAGGCAACGAUACGUAGCCGACCUGAGAGGGUGAUCGGCCACACUGGAACUGAGACACGGUCCAGACUCCUACGGGAGGCAGCAGUAGGGAAUCUUCCGCAAUGGACGAAAGUCUGACGGAGCAACGCCGCGUGAGUGAUGAAGGUUUUCGGAUCGUAAAACUCUGUUAUUAGGGAAGAACAAAUGUGUAAGUAACUGUGCACAUCUUGACGGUACCUAAUCAGAAAGCCACGGCUAACUACGUGCCAGCAGCCGCGGUAAUACGUAGGUGGCAAGCGUUAUCCGGAAUUAUUGGGCGUAAAGCGCGCGUAGGCGGUUUCUUAAGUCUGAUGUGAAAGCCCACGGCUCAACCGUGGAGGGUCAUUGGAAACUGGGAAACUUGAGUACAGAAGAGGAAAGUGGAAUUCCAUGUGUAGCGGUGAAAUGCGCAGAGAUAUGGAGGAACACCAGUGGCGAAGGCGACUUU